GGAAAGGCCCUUCGGGGUACUCGAGCGGCGAACGGGUGAGUAACACGUGAGUAACCUGCCCCUGACUCUGGGAUAAGCCUGGGAAACCGGGUCUAAUACCGGAUACGACCAUUUCUCGCAUGUGAUGGUGGUGGAAAGUUUUUUCGGUUGGGGAUGGGCUCGCGGCCUAUCAGCUUGUUGGUGGGGUGAUGGCCUACCAAGGCGACGACGGGUAGCCGGCCUGAGAGGGCGACCGGCCACACUGGGACUGAGACACGGCCCAGACUCCUACGGGAGGCAGCAGUGGGGAAUAUUGCGCAAUGGGCGGAAGCCUGACGCAGCGACGCCGCGUGGGGGAUGACGGCCUUCGGGUUGUAAACCUCUUUCAGCAGGGACGAAGUUGACGUGUACCUGUAGAAGAAGCGCCGGCUAACUACGUGCCAGCAGCCGCGGUAAUACGUAGGGCGCAAGCGUUGUCCGGAAUUAUUGGGCGUAAAGAGCUCGUAGGUGGCUUGUCGCGUCUGCCGUGAAAGCCCGUGGCUUAACUACGGGUCUGCGGUGGAUACGGGCAGGCUAGAGGCUGGUAGGGGCAAGCGGAAUUCCUGGUGUACGGUGAAAUGCGCAGAUAUCAGGAGGAA
rnacentral:rRNA from 1 species